rnacentral:sRNA from 1 species
UGAUUGAGUCUAUUACGCGCUGCUUUC